rnacentral:rRNA from 1 species
GGAUUAGAUACCCUGGUAGUCCACGCCCUAAACGAUGUCAACUAGACGUUGGGCUCAUUAAAGAGCUUAGUGUCGAAGCUAACGCGUUAAGUUGACCGCCUGGGGAGUACGGCCGCAAGGUUGAAACUCAAAGGAAUUGACGGGGGCCCGCACAAGCGGUGGAGCAUGUGGUUUAAUUCGAUGCAACGCGAAGAACCUUACCAGCCCUUGACAUCCUCGGAACUUGGUAGAGAUACCUUGGUGCCUUCGGGAAUCGAGUGACAGGUGCUGCAUGGCUGUCGUCAGCUCGUGCCG